GCUCCAGCUCCUGGGGCUCCGCGCCCAGUCUGCGAGGCCCGCAAGGUUAGACGGAAGGUUAGAGUCAGCGGCCCGGCCUGCAGCGGCAGAAGAACCGCACCGCCUGGAACCUGGAAGGCGAAGGGCGGGAAAGAAGCUGCACGGGUGUUGGUGGGUAUCUUUCUCAGCAAUCAACGCUCAGUUUUGGAGUUCUGCGAGAAAACUGAUCGUCACCCAAACACAAACACAGGCCACCUUCCCGCCUCAUCGGCAAAUAAAACUUGCAGUUUAAAGGCUCCCUUACUUCCAACUCUGCCAGGUGGUGUACAGAAAGCAAGCAGAGCUUCCUCUUUUAAAAUAAAAUAACAUCUUAGGCUAUGCAGAGGUACUCCCACGCAAACAAACCCUGGGCAACUGCCGGCCCGAGCAAAUGAAACACCAGCCCCUAUUUCACGAGGUGCUAUCCUGUAACUUGGCUUUGAAUGAAAAGAAUUAUGAGUGCCUAAGAAGAGAUAAAGUUUGAACAUCUGUGGACGGGAUUUCCGGUGAAUUUCAGGAAUUCUGAUAACUUCGUCAGGGAUGAUUUUUGACUAAAAGACGUUUGUUUCAUGGUUUGAACAUACGUGGAGAUUCGGUGAGCGAAGGCAAACUGUAGCUGGAUUUCUCCCUACGUGUUUGUGUUGAGUGGGUGAGGCAUACUUUCCUAGGCGGAAUAAAAAAAAAAUGUCCAGGUCC
rnacentral:lncRNA from 1 species